rnacentral:snRNA from 1 species
AGAUGUGAGGGUGACCUGGCUGCGACAUCUGCCACCCAAUUGAUCGCCAGGGUUGAUUCGGUUGAUCUGGCUGGUAGGUGGGUGUCCCCUUCUUCCCUCACCACUCCAUGUGCAUCUCCCCGAAGCUGUGUGCUCAGUUGAAGAGGACGACCUUCCCCGAUAGAAGGAGGACCAUCCUUCGGGCAAGGGUAUACGAGUAGCUGCACUCCCUGCUAGAACUUCCAAACAAGUCUCAAGGAGUAAUUUCAUAUCAAGAAGGCACCCUAACCUUAAUGAAUAAGAUCUUGUAGCAGUUAGAUUUUAUGUCAAUUUCUG